UAGUCCACGCAGUAAACGAUGAGUACUAGCUUUUGGAUUCGGUGUUAAGGAUUUAGAAGCGCAGCUAACGCAUUAAGUACUCCGCCUGGGGAUUACGGCCGCAAGGCUAAAACUCAAAGGAAUUGACGGGGACCCGCACAAGCGGUGGAGCAUGUGGUUUAAUUCGAUGCAACGCGAAGGACCUUACCUACCCUUGACAUACCAAGAAUCCUGCAGAGAUGCGGGAGUGCCUUCGGGAAUUUGGAUACAGGUGCUGCAUGGCUGUCGUCAGCUCGUGUCGUGAGAUGUUGGGUUAAGUCCCGCAACGAGCGCAACCCUUGUCCUUAGUUGCCAUCAUUAAGUUGGGCACUUUAAGGAGACUGCCGUGGACAACACGGAGGAAGGCGGGGACGACGUCAAGUCAUCAUGGCCCUUACGGGUAGGGCUACACACGUGCUACAAUGGGCAUUACAAAGGGUUGCGAGCCAGCGAUGGUAAGCCAAUCUCAAAAAGAUGUUCACAGUCCGGAUUGUU
rnacentral:rRNA from 1 species